rnacentral:tRNA from 1 species
GCCGGGGUAGCUCAGUCGGUAGAGCAGCGGACUGAAAAUCCGCGUGUCGGCGGUUCAAUUCCGUCCCCCGGCACCA